UACGUAUGGUGCAAGCGUUAUCCGGAUUUACUGGGCGUAAAGGGAGCGCAGGCGGCGCGCCAAGUCUGAUGUGAAACCCCGGGGCUCAACCCCGGGCAUGCAUUGGAAACUGGCGGGCUGGGGUGCCGGAGAGGUAAGCGGAAUUCCUAGUGUAGCGGUGAAAUGCGUAGAUAUUAGGAGGAACACCAGUGGCGAAGGCGGCUUACUGGACGGCAACUGACGCUGAGGCUCGAAAGCGUGGGGAGCAAACAGG
rnacentral:rRNA from 1 species